AUCCAGCUGACGAGCUCCAAAACAGGACGAAACACGCGUCCUGGAU
rnacentral:hammerhead_ribozyme from 1 species